GGCAGGGAUGAGCAGCGUGAGCUGGAGGCACAGGUGGUCCGUGUGACUGCAGGGCGCGAGCCAGGAGGAGGCCGGGGAGAUGAGCUGCAGAAGUCAGCCACAGAGGCAAUGGGAGCCAGGAUGGGGAGCUGGAUUUUAUUCUAAGAGUAAUAGGGAGCCAUUGAGAGUCUCAGCAGGAGGGCAUAUGAACCAACAUGAUUUGGUUUACAUUUCACAGCUCACUCUAGUUGCAGGAGUGCGCAUGGAUUAAGGAGGCCCAGGAGACACCGGAGACCAGGGAGGAAGCUGUUGCGAUUGCCCAGGAGGCCACGGUGGUGGAUGGGCACAGCCCAGCAAGGCGGGGAGCAGCCUCAGCCCUCCAGCCUGGCCGUGUGUGAUGGAUGCAGAGCUCUGGCUAACAGUGGGGACGGCUGCAUCUGGGAACUCUCUCACUCCCUGAACACAUCCACCUGGGCACCUUGUAGGAAGGAGAGGUGAUGGACCCUGUCCAAAAUACCAUCACAACACAGCCCUGCACGGCCCGAGUCCCCUGCCUGCCAGACACGUGCAACGGAGCGUUUGCCCCCUGCCUCCCUCUUCCGAGGACAGCCUCCACCCACGCUUGCUCGCAGCCAUGAGCAUGUUUGCUUUUGCUAAUUGAUAUAAAUGACCCUCCCUUCGCAGCCACGCAUGGGCGCCGAGCACGUCCCCGGUAAUGGGCUGCGGGAGGAAAAUUAAGUGCUCCAGUUUGCCAUCCUUCAAGAUGAAAAAUAGGAGGGAGAAAGUCACUCUGCAGAGCCAGAGGAGCUACGCGCAGCUGCAACCUGGGGAGGGGGAAGAGCCCAGGCUCCUGGGGGACAGUCCUGCACAGAGCCCGCACCUCCAGCAGGCAUCCUAGACACACAGUGUCCAAACAUUU
rnacentral:lncRNA from 1 species